UACGGAGGGGGCUAGCGUUGUUCGGAAUUACUGGGCGUAAAGCGCACGUAGGCGGCUUUGUAAGUUAGAGGUGAAAGCCCAGGGCUUAACCCUGGAAUUGCCUUUAAGAGUGCAUCGCUAGAAUUGUGGAGAGGUAAGUGGAAUUCCGAGUGUAGAGGUGAAAUUCGUAGAUAUUCGGAAGAACACCAGUGGCGAAGGCGACUUACUGGACACAUAUUGACGCUGAGGUGCGAAAGCGUGGGGAGCAAACAGG
rnacentral:rRNA from 1 species